rnacentral:tRNA from 1 species
GGUGGGGUUCCCGAGCGGCCAAAGGGAACAGACUGUAAAUCUGUCGUCGUACGACUUCGGUGGUUCGAAUCCACCCCCCACCACCA